rnacentral:RNase_P_RNA from 1 species
CCAGCCGGACGGUCUGCCGCUUGCGUCCCUGCGGCGCAAGAGGAAAGUCCGGGCAGCAAAGGGCGCUCCGCUUCCUAACGGGAAGAAGUCCGCGAGGGCUUGCCAGCGCAGAAGAAAACAACCGCCUCCGUCGCCGCCCACCCGCAAGGGGAAGCGGCGCGAGGCAAGGGUGAGAAGGUGGGGUAAGAGCCCACCAGCCGUAUGGCGACAUACGGGCUGUGCGCCCCGGAGGCUGAAAGUCCGCGUAUACCGGCGCCCACGAGGGCGGCCCGUCCCAGUUCCGAAAGGAACGCGCCGGAGGGUAGGACGAUUGAGACGUGCGGCGACGCACGCCCCAGAUGAAUGGCAGACACCGCCGCGCCAUAGCGCACCGCGCGGACCGGCGGCACAGAACCCGGCUUACAGUCCGGCUGGUUUU